rnacentral:tRNA from 1 species
GCCCGAGUGGUGGAAUUGGUAGACACUACAGACUUAAAAUCUGUUGACGGUAACGUCGUGCCGGUUCGACCCCGGCCUCGGGCA